rnacentral:rRNA from 1 species
AACGAACGCUGGCGGCAUGCCUAACACAUGCAAGUCGAACGAGACCUUCGGGUCUAGUGGCGCACGGGUGCGUAACGCGUGGGAACCUGCCCUUAGGUUCGGAAUAACUCCCCGAAAGGGGUGCUAAUACCGGAUAAUGUCUUCGGACCAAAGAUUUAUCGCCUUUGGAUGGGCCCGCGUUGGAUUAGCUAGUUGGUAGGGUAAAAGCCUACCAAGGCGACGAUCCAUAGCUGGUCGGAGAGGAUGAUCAGCCACACUGGGACUGCGACACGGCCCAGACUCCUACGGGAGGCAGCAGUGGGGAAUAUUGGACAAUGGGCGAAAGCGUGAUCCAGCAAUGCCGCGUGAGUGAUGAAGGCCUUAGGGUUGUAAAGCUCUUUUACCCGGGAUGAUAAUGACAGUACCGGGAGAAUAAGCUCCGGCUAACUCCGUG